CCGCCGAGGAGGGAGGGGGCUCCGCCGCGGCCGGAGCCCUGCGGGGGUGGGAGAGGUACGGGCAGACAAUAGCCGCGGCGGCGGCUCCCGCCGAGCGCGCUCAGCCGUCGCCUCGCGGUACGAGCGAGCUUAGAAAAUGGUGCACCUACCGCACAAAGCCCGGCACCGCCGGCGGAUCCCGCAGACAAUGCCGCGCUGCGGCCGCGGCCGCGGGCACACAAAGCGCCGCUCCUCGCGCCGAGCCCCGCGGAGCCGCACCGCGGCACUCCGCCCACGGACGCCCCGAAUGUAGGAACCGAAGCGUCCCUUUCCCGAGCGCGCGUGGUCGUAUUUACAAACGGACCCGUCCCCGGUUUGUUUGGUCGGGGUUUAAAGGAAAAAAAGCCCUUGCAGCACGUGCAGCCAAUCGUCGGAACUCGGAAGCGGUGGCUCUGUGAAACAGCGAUUAGAGCCCGGCAGUGCCCUCCCUCUGCCCCCCGCCUCCCAGCCCUCCCCUCCCGACCGCCGCUCUCCGGCGCAGUGCAUGAGAUUACCCUUAACUGGAUCCUAUUAAAUAAUUCAAUGGUGGCGGUGUAAUUUUGGUUGGAAACUGCACGGAUUUCCAAGUCGUGACUGUAAAAGUGAGUAAUGUGCUCUGGCUGCGUCAUGGCUCCAGUCACAGAUGGUUCCAAACUGAGGAGAAAUCGUGACUUCGACUUGAGACGUCCCCUUCUCCACGAGCAGCGCGGCCAAUCACCGCGCCGUCGGGGGCACCGGACCGCUCCCGCGCCGCGCUCCGCGUGUGUGUGCGUGCGGCCGUGUGCCGCUCCGCGUGCGCGCGCGGUGCCAUCCUCAACAAGUUGCAGGAGGGGAAGGGAGAGGAGGGGUUAAUCCCGGGGAAUCUUCUGCACCUAGCGAGAUCGUGACCCUCCCACACAGUACAGUAACUUAUAUACAUACCUGGAGGAAGGGACGCUUCGCUUCUGGGCUUUCUAAAAAAAAAAACAAACAACCCCAAAACACCCCGUGGUGAUCGGGCGCGCGGCGCGGGACCGCCGGAGCGGCCGGGAGGCAGCGCCAGGUGUGGCCGCGCCGUCGGGGCCGAGGAAUCUCUGGCACCGCAGGAGCAGCAGCCCACACCAGGAACGUGGAGCAGCCUCUGCUUCGGACAGGAGGACGUCCGUCCCAGGAGAAAGAGCAUCAGUUCUCAGUUGGGCCACCUUCCAUGCGAUGGAGCAACGUAGCUAAGCUGUAGGUUGCCUUAUGCUUGCAACACUGCAACCCCGAGGAAGUCUGCAUCUGCAGAGAUCUGCCUUCAUGCCUGGACUGAUAAGCGACGCUGGGGAAGCGUCUUGGCCAGAUGCUGCUGCAGUAUCCCGCCUCCUCAUCGCAUCGCCCUCUGGAAGACAGAAGUGACGAUCAGCAGCGUGGUGUUGUCCUGCAGGCAGCUGAAGAACCACUUUGACAGCAAGCAGGAGAACAACUAUGCAGUGUAAUCACAGCCUGUCUGUGCUCUUUCUAACAGUGUACAUGAGCACCCUAUUCCCAGCGAGGGGAUGCUGUAACCUCCCCCUGCUGACCUGUAUUCUUCUCCGUUACUGUAACCAAGCUGUUUCUUUCCCACGGCCACGCGUUCCUGCAGAUAUACCAAGGGUUCCCAUGCAGAUAGGUUUACAAAUUCAGGAAGGGCUUGGACAGAGCAAAAGGAGAAUGAAGUAAUUCCCAAAUAUUUGCACUGUGGCUGAUGAAAUUAGCAGGAGAGCUGAGUGGGUGUAUAGGGGUCUGCUGGGGGACGGAUGGAAGGAAACCUGGGGACAAACUGUCUGCUGUUCGACGUGCUCUGAGUGCUGUGUGAUAAAGGUGAAUCACCCAGCUUAGCUGCAGGUGAGCCAGCAGGACAGUGGCUGGGGCCGAGUCCCACUGCAGCCUGUGUGGGGGCUGUGUGCUGGGUCCGGUGGGCUUUGAAUCCCACCACAAAGACAGUGGCUGUCGACAAGGUCACGAACGCAGAGCUUCGCCUUCUGUUGAUUAUGUGGUUGUCAGUGGAAGAAUUACUGUGUAUCUAUGGGAAAUGUUAAAAAACAACAACGCCUUUUUUUCUUGAAUAAAUCUGUGAAACGAACCAAC
rnacentral:lncRNA from 1 species